rnacentral:tRNA from 1 species
GAGGGUAUAGCUCAAAUGGUAGAGUGCAUGCUCAGCAUGCAUGAGGUCCUGGGUUUAAUCCCCAGUACCUCCU